AACCCCCGGAAGUAGCUGACGCUCCGGCGGCGCUGGGGACCGCGUCUCCCCGCCAUUAAACCCUUGGCCCUGCCGCAUGUUCUGUCGAGUUGUGGACUGUAGCGACCGCAGUGUCCUAGGAAGGACUCGGGGGACCCAGGAGCCCUGGAAAUGGACUCAGUGACCACUGAGGAUGUGGCUGUGAACUUCACCCCAGAGGAGUGGGCUUUACUGGAUCCUUCACAGAAGAAACUCUACAGAGAUGUGAUGUGGGAAACCUUCAGGAUCCUGGCCUCAGUAGG